GCAGCAGUAGGGAAUCUUCGGCAAUGGGGGGAACCCUGACCGAGCAACGCCGCGUGAGUGAAGAAGGUUUUCGGAUCGUAAAUCUCUGUUGUCAGCCAAGAACGGAUACGAGAGUGGAAAGUUCGUAUCGUGACGGUAACUGACCAGAAAGGGACGGCUAACUACGUGCCAGCAGCCGCGGUAAUACGUAGGUCCCGAGCGUUGUCCGGAUUUAUUGGGCGUAAAGCGAGCGCAGGCGGUUUCGUAAGUCAGAAGUAAAAGGCUGUGGCUUAACCAUAGUAUGCUUUUGAAACUGCGGAACUUGAGUGCAGAAGGGGAGAGUGGAAUUCCAUGUGUAGCGGUGAAAUGCGUAGAUAUAUGGAGGAACACCGGUGGCGAAAGCGGCUCUCUGGUCUGUGACUGACGCUGAGGCUCGAAAGCGUGGGUAGCGAACAGGAUUAGAUACCCUGGUAGUCCACGCCGUAAACGCUGAGUGCUAGGUGUUGGGUCCUUUCCGGGACUCAGUGCCGGAGCUAACGCAUUAAGCACUCCGCCUGGGGAGUACGACCGCAAGGUUGAAACUCAAAGGAAUUGACGGGGGCCCGCACAAGCGGUGGAGCAUGUGGUUUAAUUCGAAGCAACGCGAAGAACCUUACCAGGUCUUGACAUCCCUCUGACCGUCCUAGAGAUAGGAUUUUCCUUCGGGACAGAGGAGACAGGUGGUGCAUGGUUGUCGUCAGCUCGUGUCGUGAGAUGUUGGGUUAAGUCCCGCAACGAGCGCAACCCCUAUUGUUAGUUGCCAUCAUUGAGUUGGGCACUCUAGCGAGACUGCCGGUAAUAAACCGGAGGAAGGUGGGGAUGACGUCAAAUCAUCAUGCCCCUUAUGACCUGGGCUACACACGUGCUACAAUGGCUGGUACAACGAGUCGCAAGCCGGUGACGGCACGCUAAUCUCUUAAAGCCAGUCUCAGUUCGGAUUGGAGGCUGCAACUCGCCUCCAUGAAGUCGGAAUCGCUAGUAAUCGCGGAUCAGCACGCCGCGGUGAAUACGUUCCCGGGC
rnacentral:rRNA from 1 species